rnacentral:rRNA from 1 species
UGGGGAAUAUUGCACAAUGGGCGAAAGCCUGAUGCAGCAACGCCGCGUGAGUGAUGAAGGCCUUCGGGUUGUAAAGCUCUGUCUUUUGGGACGAUAAUGACGGUACCAAAGGAGGAAGCCACGGCUAACUACGUGCCAGCAGCCGCGGUAAUACGUAGGUGGCAAGCGUUGUCCGGAUUUACUGGGCGUAAAGGAUGCGUAGGCGGAUUUUUAAGUGAGAUGUGAAAUACCCGGGCUUAACUUGGGUGCUGCAUUUCAAACUGGGAAUCUAGAGUGCGGGAGAGGAGAAUGGAAUUCCUAGUGUAGCGGUGAAAUGCGUAGAGAUUAGGAAGAACACCAGUGGCGAAGGCGAUUCUCUGGACCGUAACUGACGCUGAGGCAUGAAAGCGUGGGUAGCAAACAGGAUUAGAUACCCUGGUAGUCCACGCCGUAAACGAUGAGUACUAGGUGUAGGAGGUAUCGACCCCUUCUGUGCCGCAGUUAACACAAUAAGUACUCCGCCUGGGAAGUACGAUCGCAAGAUUAAAACCCUAAAUGGAAUUGACGGGGGUCAUAGCUGUUUUCCU